CCGGCGUUCCCAUGGCAACGGCAUAGGUGGGCCUCCGGGCAGAGGCCGCCUCCGUCAGCGGGGAAGAGCGGGGCUCCUGAGCCACAUGGGGAACUGAGACGUGCAACAGAGAAGCUGCCCGCUCUAGGUCUCACAUAGUGAGUCAGUGGUACAGCCUGGGAACAGCCUCCAGCCCCAAAACCCAGCCUUCUGUUUGAACUAUUACUUGCACGGAACUUGGAAGGAGGGUCACAGGUUGCAAGAGGGAAGACUUUGGACGGGACACCAAGAAUUCAGUACCUGUCUACAUGGCUGGAGAUUUCCCUAAAGUCAGAGCAUCUGUAAGCAGUUCUCUUAAUCAAGAGCUGGCUUAGUUUUUGAAAUAUGAACUUCUUAUACAUCACCACCAAGCACGCAAUACAUGAAACAAAUCACUAGCCGACAAUCCUUCCCCCAUUGUAUUUGUAGGUGUAGGCACUAAAGCAUACCGUUUCUA